rnacentral:rRNA from 1 species
CAGUGCUCUGUGAUACACUUUGAACGAGUGGAGUUGUUUGGGAAUUCAGCUCAAAAUGGGUGGUAAAUUCCAUCUAAACAAAAAUAUAGGUGAGUUCCCGAUAAAGAACAAGUACCGUGAGGGAAAGAUGAAAAGCAAUUUCGAAAGAGAAUUAAACAAAACCUGAAAUUGUUGAAAGGGAACAGAUUGAAGUCAGUCAUGAAGGGAGGUUUCAGAAGUCUCUGCUAGUGUAUUACCUUUAGGCGGGUCAACAUCAGUUUUUGACGGUGGAAAAAGGCAUGAGGAAAGUAGCAUCUCCGGAUGUGUUAUAGCCUCGUUUUGCAUACACUGUUCGAGACUGAGGAAGGCAGCUCGCCUUUAUGGCCGGGGUUUGCCCACUUUUGAGCUUAGGAAGUGACAUAAUGGCUUAAACGACCCGUC